UUAUGCACCCAUAAAAAAGAAUGAAAUCUUGUCAUUUGAACAACAUGGAUGGAGCUAGGGAGUAUAACACUUAAGUGAAAUAUGUCAAUCAGAGAAAGACAAAUACCAUAUGAUUUCACUCAUAUGUAUAAUUUAAAAACAAAACAAAUGAGCAAAGGGGAAAAAAGAGAGAGAGGCAAACUAAGAAAUAGACUUUCAACUAUAGAGAGUAAAUUGAUCAUUACCAGAGGGGAGGUGGAGUAGGAGAAUGAGUGAAAUAGGUGAUGGGAUUAAGGAUUGCACAGUUGUGAUGAGCCCCACAUGUUGUAUGGAGUGUUGAAUCACUGUAUUGUACACCCAAAAUUAAUAUCAAUUACACUAUAUGUUAACUAACUGGAAUUUAAAUAAAAACUUAAAAAAACCUCCUGCAAAUCAACAACAAAAACCCCAAACACAAUUCAAAAGUAAAAAGGAUUUGAAUAGAUUUUCUCCCAAGAAGAUAUACAAAUGGAAAAUAAGCAUGAAAAGAUACUUAACAUCACUUGUCAUUAUGGAAAUGCAAUCCAAAACCACACUGAGAUAAACACACUAGAAUGGUUACAGUUUUAAAAAAUGGAAAAUAUUACAUGUUGAUGUGAAUGUAGAGAAAUUAGAACUCUCAUAUAUCCCUGGUGGGAAUAAAAAAUGUUGAAGCCACAAUGGAAAACAGUUUUUUGGUUUCUUAAAAAGGUAAAAAUGGGGGCGCCUGCGUGGCUCAGUCAGUUAAGCGUCCAAUUUCAGCUCAGGUCAUGGUGGAUUCUUGAGUUCGAGUCCCACAUAAGGCUCUCUGCUGUCUGCACAGAGCCAGCUUCGGAUCCUCUGUCCCCUUCUUUCUGCCUCUCCCCCCGCUAUGUGCUCUCUCUUGCAAAAAUAAAUAAACAUUUAAAAAAAGAUAAAAAUAGAAUUGCCAUGUGACUCAGCAUUCCACUCCUAUGUAUUUAUCCAAAGGAAUGCAAAGCAUGGACUCAAACAGGUAUGCCAAUGUUCACAGCAGCGUUAUUCACACUAGCUAAAAGGUGGAAACAACACAAGUGUCCAUCAACAGAUGAAUGGAUUGAUAACACAAUCAUUCCACAAUCAUGUGGUAUAUAAACACAAUGGAAUAUUAUUCUGCUAUAAAAAGGAAGUACUGAUACUUGCUACAACAUGGAUGAGCCUAGCAAAUAUGCAAAGCGAAAGUAGUGAGACACAAAAGGGUGUUAUAUAAUUUGUCUUAAAUGAUAUAUGAAGAAUGAUCAAAUUCACAGAGAAAGAAGUCAGAUCAGAGGUUACCAGGAGCUGGGGAGAUGGAAGAAAUGGGAGUUAUCACUUAAUGGUACAUUUUGUGUUUGGGGUGAUGAAAGUCUGGGAAGUAGAGAGUGGUGAUGGCUGCACGCCAUUGUGAAUCCAAUUAAAGCUAGCGAACUGUACGCUUAAAAACGGUUAAAUGAGAAAUGUUAUCUGAUAUGUAUUUUACCAUACCACAAUUUAAAACAAAUUAGUAUUGUAAUAUACCAAAACUAUUGAAGUUCAAGCUUUAAAUGGAUGAGUCACAUGUGAAUUAGGUCUCAGUAAAGCUUUUUAAAAACCACCAUGAGAUCCUACUACACCCCUACUAGAAUAGCUAAAAUUAACAGUGCUUAUUACCAAGCGAGGAUGAAGGGGUGGAGGAGCUGGAACUCUCACACUGUUGAUAGGAAACAAGUCUGGAACUUUCUUUUAAAAGUCUGGUAACCGGGCUCCUGUGUGCCACACAGUAUGGCAGUGAUGUCUGUCUUUUCCUAAUUUUUUUUUCUCUCUCAGUCUUGACCUGAACUUUACCCUAGCUGUGAAGCACUGCAGAGGCCGACAAGACAGCAGUAAGCUCAUCCCUGAGAGGACUGUGUUUUUAGCCGGAAGGCAGGAAGAAGUGACCUGUGGUCUGAAGAAUGUGGAUGAAAUGUGACUUGAACGGGACAUCCUCACACGUUUUGUCACCGCCCUUUCCUGACAUAUUUGAUACCCUCACCUUGACUGGUCCCUCUGGCAGCACAUCUGGGGCCCUGCAAGACGGCAAUGCUGGCAUGCUAUGGUCCGCUAUUUCUCCAACGACCCCCUUUACGUUGGAUUCAAAUUCUCACCUUCACUGACCCACUUUUAUAAACUGUCAUGUGGGUCUAUCCCUGGAGAUAAGGGGGCAGCACAACCACAUGCUCCACCGUCUGUGCGUCAACUGAGGAGCACAGUGACCGGUCACCAACAGACUCUGCAAGAAGUGACUUCACGGGUCACUGAGCAUGACGCCAUCUGUUAUUUACACAGUGACGGGUGGACUGAGUGUCGUCAAAAACCGACCUCUGUGCUUUGGAGCCAAAGUAUAACAUGAAGACAGAGUUUGGGACAAAGAGGAAUAAUAGCUUCAUUGCCUGGCCAGGCCAGGGAGGCUGCUGCAGGCUAAGGCCUUCAAAAUUGCAAGCCCACCUGGAGAAGGGGCUGGGGUCUUACAGAAAAAUACAGGGGCUAGCUGGUUUGGACACAAAUUGCAUACUUGCCGCCAGCCUUGUUCAUCAUGUCUUCAGGGUGGUACCGGGUUCCUGGAACAAAAAGCUAAGAAUCGAGAUGGGCAGGUUUGCGGGAGAGAGGGAAAAGGUUCCGUGGGUUAAAAUCAAGCUUCACUGAAGCGUUAGUGCAGCUAUUUUGAUUUUUGUUCAGCAUUCUGCUUUCGCAGUUUCGUGAGGAGCCACAGCAGCUUGCGGCCAGGUUGUACUUUGUGCCGUUAUAUGGUUACUGUGCUGUGGUAACUGAAACUCCAAUGAUGUCCACGCCCACUACUAUCAACUAGAGGGUGGUAACUGAAAUUUCGCAAUCAUGAAGUGUCACUUCCGCCGUAUAACAUUAACUGGAUGUGAAUCCCCAAUACUGGAUCGCUCCCAAGGGGACGGGAAGUAGGCUCCACUAUUUGAGUGAAAGAGUGUCAGUGAAACUGUGCACACGUUUUAGAACCAGCACAUUUCUGAAAUGUAUUGUCGCUGCAUAUCAUUCUGGGCUGAUGAUUCUUUUCCGCUAAUACUCUAAAGGUAUUGUUGCACUGUGUUCUGGCCUACAUGAUUUUUUUAUUAGACAUCUGUGCUUAUUGCAAUUCAAGUUGUUAUUCCCUGUAUUGAAUGUGAUGUUUUGUUUUUCUGGUUGCAGUCAAGAUUUUUUUUGUCUUUGGUUUUAAGCAGUUAGACCAUGACAAACUGAGCAUCUUGGAUUUUGCUGGGUGUCUUGAACCUGUACAUUUAUUUUGUUCACCAGAUUUUAACUUUUCAAGUAAUUAUUUCUUCAAAAUAUUUUUUUCUGCACCAAUUCCCCCUGCCCCAUCUUUCUUAGACUCAAAUGACAAAAAUACUAGGGUUUUUUUUUUCACAUUGUCUCACAGAUUCCUGAAGCUCUGUUCAUUUUGUCUUUUUUUUUCUCAGUGUUUCUCAGAUUGGUUAAUUUGUAUUGAUCUGUCUUGAAUUCACGGACUCUUUCUUCUGUGAUAUCUGUUCUUCUAUGAAGCCCAUAUACUACAUGUUUUUUAAUUUCAGAACUUAUAUUUUUCAGUUCCAAAAUUCCCACUUGGAAAUUCUGUGUCUCUGCCAAGAAUUUCUUCCUAUUUAUAUUAAGAGCUUAUAAUAUUAUAAUUAUAAUAGCUGCUUUCAAGUUUUUGUCUGAUAAUCGAAAAUCUGUAUCAUUUUUGGCUUGACAUGUGUUGUCUUUUCCCUUGUGAAUAAAUGAUAUAUCCCUGGU